rnacentral:rRNA from 1 species
AAAUUGAAGAGUUUGAUCAUGGCUCAGAUUGAACGCUGGCGGCAGGCCUAACACAUGCAAGUCGAACGGUAACAGGAAGCAGCUUGCUGCUUCGCUGACGAGUGGCGGACGGGUGAGUAAUGUCUGGGAAACUGCCUGAUGGAGAGGGAUAACUACUGGAAACGGUGGCUAAUACCGCAUAACGUCGCAAGACCAAAGAGGGGGACCUUCGGGCCUCUUGCCAUCAGAUGUGCCCAGAUGGGAUUA